rnacentral:rRNA from 1 species
CUGCCAAGGUGACAACUUGGAGGAAGGUGGGGAUGAUGUCAAGUCAUCAUGGUCCUUAUGCCCAGGGCUACAAACGUGCUACAAUGGUCGGUACAAAGAGCCGCUAAACAGCGAUGUCAUGCUAAUCUCAAAAAGCCGACCUCAGUUCGGAUUGGAGUCUGCAACUCGACUCCAUGAAGUUGGAAUCGCUAGUAAUCGCGGAUCAGCAGGUCGCGGUGAAUACGUUCCCGGGGUUUGUACACACCGC